GUAAAUCAAAUUUUGAUACUUCCAAAGAAGUAUCUAUAACAGGUAUGGAUAUCAAGGAAGGCAAUGCAUCAAAGGGUUUCAAGCAACUCCUAUAAACCUAAUGCACAUUUCACUAGACUUAAAGUGUGCGAAAAGUAUUUAAAAACACAAGGAAGGGGUUGCAUACACCGGGGCUUGCCUGGAAUAAACACUAGGUUAGUGUUUGUUAGACGUCCAUUUGGCGAUCAUCCUUGUCCUAGCACUUGAUCAGGCAGGUUCAUCCAUCAGCAUUAUUCUGCGAAGUAGUCCGCGCUUGGGGUCGACUUGACUUAAGUUCUCCGCAUCUCGUGGUUAAUCAACGUACCUAAAUGAUUUGCAUAAUGCACAUGAAUGCAUAUAAAUAAGAAUAUCACACACCUAAAUAGUGUUACGCGAUAGCGAAACACCUAGCGGCGAGGCGUUGUACAAGUUUAUACGGAAAUACUAAUUAUCGACAAACGACUACGCGUAAUAAUUACGCUUCUCUAAAUUAUACGAACCUAACGCAAACAUUACGAACAACAAAUCAUACACUUCUAAACAUAAUUAACAUCUCAAAUCUACCCAACGCGACUACUCUAAAAUUACGAAAAUAAUCACAUCGCAUUCAUCAAAAUACUACACUCUGCAAAAUAGAACUAGUUCGAAUAUACUCGGUAACUAAACUCCUCAAAGCACACCUCGCAUCCCGGGUAUUUCUAACUUAAACUUCAUACUCAAACCAAGCGUCUUAUUUCACGAUCAUAAAAUCUAUAGUAAAAAUAGUGAUUUUGCUCACCGUUAUCAACUUCAUUCAAUAUUUGCGAGAACGGCGGUAGUCUUCGAUUGAAGUCUUCAGUCAGACAACUGAUGAGUAUAGAAUGGAGCUUUACUUUCUCUUCCAUCCGCAAUUCUUGGAAUCUCUCCAUAUUAACGACGACAAUCGGCCAGGUCGACGACGCGAUGGGGAUUAAGGCCGAGCGAGCCGAGAGGGCGCGCUGGCGACCAGAAAACCACGCGAGCACUAGACAGGGAGAACGACGGGCUCGAUAGCGUCUGCGACCGAAGCGAGCACCGGAGACAAGCACGACGGGGCGGCUACCGGCGAACACCACGACGCGAUGACAAAAACAGACUGAAACAGGGAGCCGAGCGCCAAGGACGAGCCGAGCAGGAAAUCGAGAUCCGAGUUGGGCGAGUGGGAGGAACAGGGAGCUGGGCGACCGAGCGCCAAUGGGGAUGGGGCAUGUGCGUCCCUGCGACCAGAGGGAGUGCCGCGGCUACAGGGGCGCGGUUUGGCCAGGGAGGAGCAGCCGACGCUGGAGCUGGAAGAGGCUUCGGCCAUGGGGAAAACAAGGGGCCGGGGAGGAACUCGGCUGGGAGGAGCUCGACGCAAUGGAGCACGGAGGAAGGAGAGGGGUGCGCACCAUGGAUGCGCAGGAGCGAGCUCCGGCAGCGCGCGUGGGGCUGGAACACCGAGCUGGCAGCCGGCGCGCAGAGAGAGGCGACCGAGGAAGAUGGAGAAGCUCGGUGGAGCGCCAUCGGGGCGAGCCGAGGGAGAAAGGAAGCCGCGGCAGAGAGCUCGCCGCGCAGAGAAGACUCCACUGGAGAACGAGCAGGGAGAACAAAGGAGCUGGGCGAGAAAUUUCACGCGCGGGCGCCAGGGAAUAUGAUAGGGCCGAGCAGGGCGCCGAGAGGAGGGAGAUGAGGGAGGAUCGAGCUCAUCGGCUGGGGAUAGAAGAGCGACUAGGAAGAUAAGACUGCUGGGAUUUUUUUUGCAGGUGACCGACGAAGCUUACGCGGCCACGGCAAGAACGAACUGGAGGCUGAAUGCCGCAUGGAGAUAAGAAUGGAAGCUGUUAAGCGGUAAGAAAAUCAAAGGAAGAGACAAACGUGCCUUGAGAAAAAUCCCGGCAACGGAUGAAGAUAGGAGUGGCUGAAAGGAUAUUUUUCUAGAUGUUUUUUUAUUUUUCUUUUCUUCACUCUUUUUUUAAAGAGAAUUGCAAAUAUUUUGGAUCAUGAUUUUUAGCGAUGUACACUAGGUCAACACGCUAUACGGCUACACAUUUCUUUAAAUAAAAUGGAAAUUUCAGAAUAUUUGAAUUUGGGUCUAGACAAGAUGUACACAAUCUAAUUAAAACGACACUUGGGUUAAACAUAUUAUUUACUGGGACUUUGAAAUAGGACACCGAAUCGGCUAACAAUUUUUCCGGUUUCAAUUAGUUCGGAUUCAGUUUAUUUAAACAGUCUGUCCCUGGUAGUGGCUUUACCAAAUUUAUAGAGAUUGCUCGAACCGAGCGAAAUACUUAAGUGACAAUUUUAUUUCGUCUAGAUUAAUUUUAAAUUGGCACUAGGCUCGACACUUUUAGAAUUAAAUAAAUUUUAAACUGUGCGAGCCGAAUGCGACAUCGCAAUCGGAAUUCCUCCGGGGACGAUGUCAGUAUCGUCACGGGAGCGAGAUGUAGACGGAUUAAACCAGACGAGAUCCGAUUCGAUAUUUAGGACAACACUGGUUUGGUCGAACUCAGAUAAAAAUUUACCCGUCACCAAAACACAGCUGAUUUGAUUAUCCUACAGUGUGGGCUGAAGAACAAAUGGGAUUAGAUGAAUUCGCACCCGUAAUUUAUAUCCAAGUUUUGGAUCGGGCAAGAAACGACAAGCCGAAUUAAACUGAUUUCGGCACUGAUAAUUUGUUCGGCGUGAUUCGACCGAAAUUAGCCGAAACACAAUAUGUGAACGUAUACGCGAUUUUUUUCGUCGAAACCGCGUGCUGAAGAAUUAAUUGGAUUAUAACCUCGCGCAUGAUUUCGCGCGAUUCAAAUUAUUUUACCCCGAACAUUUUAGUCGUCGAGUUCAACUAAUUUGCCCGGGAUAAAAAUCAUCUUAGUGAGUCGGACUUCCAAAUUCGUAUUCGCGCGAGCGAUGAAUUUUAAAUAAUCACCGGACGCACCGAUGUUCGGAACGACGAUGUUCCGAAGAACACGGAAAUUUUGGAAGAGCCUGGAUUAAUAAAAAUAAAAACAAUGUCGCACCCGCAACAGACGAAACAGAUGCGAUAUUAAAAUCGCAAUAGGCGAAGAUGAUUAAAUUUUAGUAUCCGUUUCAUCCACUGAUAUUACGUGCUUAACUCCAUACUCGUUGUCGAGCGGACGGUAAGCACCUGAGGUGUUACAGCCCUCCCCCCUUAAAAGAAUCUCGUCGCGAGAUUCGGAGCGAAAGACUCUUAAGAGUAGAGAAGCAUGUAACCCAUGUCCAUAUCAGCGAUAACCAUAAAACAGCUCCAAGCAAAGGCGAGUGUCUCAGGAUGUUGUUUCUCUAGUGGACAUAACAUGUAUUGCCUUAAGCUAAUUUAGAAAUGUCCAAUAAUAGAGACGAUGUCUGCCAGAUGAACACAUAGGGUUCCAUGUGUGCAGCUUGCUUUUUCUGAUGACACUGUACUAUCUGAGUCUAUUGGGCGAGCGAUAAAUACGCGAUUUUACCCAAAUAGAAUUAGAUGCACCAUCUUGGGUAUAACACACAGAAAGAUGUUUACCAACAAGUGGUCACAGUGAGUUCGUAACACACGAGACGGAUGUGGAUGUCGAAUACUGUCGCGGUUAACAUAUGGCUAACCCGAGAAUUCAAGUCCACGAAAGAUGGUAUAGAUUCUAGAGAAUCACCAGUGAAGAGAUCUGUAGAUACGGACUUUACGACCAGUCCAUUUUAUCAAGCACUAGGCAUGGCUCGACUUGAUCGCAUAUGCUGGGAAAACACACGUGAGGCGAUCGAGGCAUAACUAGAGCGAUAAUUAGAUGGUUACUGGUCGACUUAAUUUGAUUUUGGUAAGUACUUUCUUUAGGGUGGGUUGAACCAAAGUGAGUUUAGACAACUCAAUAAAGCGAUCUCUAAACUCAGCCUUCGUUCAUUGAGCAGUUACAAGUUAGUCAAAACCAACUUGUUGAACUACUUUUGACAUUAAGCAAAUCCUCUCAGUACCAUUGGUAAGCCAAGGGUUGAGAGUUCACUCAUACUAACAGUUGAUCAUGCACUUGGGCAGAAAUCCAUUUGGUCAGGUUGUUCAUCCGUUUCUUCAUGUGAGAUGAAUUAUCCACUUGGUUAGGGAAUACUUGGAUUAAAUAAGAGAGCGAAUGAACAAACUCCUGCAUCACAACAGCAGGGAAAAAUCAAUCUUCAUUUUGAGAGCUAAUCAGUUGUCUCUCGACACUAAAAAGCUCCAAGGCUUCACCUUUACACGAAGGAUGUAAAGGGAACUUGUAUGAGUAGUCACCAUCAAAGUAAAGGGACAAGAGACCACACAUUAAAGGGGUAUGCCCUUUUGAUCCAACAGAGAUGAUAGAUGUUGCUUGAUCACUUGACAAACAACAUAGAAAUUGUUUCAAGGAAGUAGUUUACGGAAGAUAACACAUCAGUGUAGUUCCACAAUGGAUCAUGACCAGAGACCUUGAUACCAGCAUCCGACGAGUAGCAUAGUCCUGUGUGCGCAUUCACAGGAGGCUCUCAGUUUCGCUGCGGCACCAUAAGUCAUUAACCAUGACACCAUUACCGAACUGGCACCAAUAACAAUCUCACGUAGCAAAAAAACAUAUUGUGCCAAGAUAACGCAUUGACAUAGUCUCAUAAUGGAUUACAACUACUAACUGUGAUACCAGCGCGUGCCGAGUAGCACAACCAUGUGUGCGCACCCACAGAAGGCCCUCGGUUUCAUCACGGCACCAUCAGUUUUAGUCAUAGCACCAUUACCAGACAUAACCAAUAAGAAAUCUCGCGCGACACCAAUGGAUUAGGCAAGGGUGACAAUAUACAAAGAGACUCUACCUGUAAGAAUGGUUACAAGUAGAGAACCAAAUAGAUUAUGGCCCGAUGAAAUGAACAAAACAUGGCCAUAACUUAAACUUGAUGAGAGAAGUACGAUGGGAGACCGAUACUUCAGCCACAAGCAUAUUUCUAUGCCCAUCACAGAGAUUACAAAGUCAAGGAUUAAGUUGGUAUGCCUUCGAUAUGUAUGGGGAAACCAAAGGCAUCAAACUCAAGAAAAUGGUCGGACAUACCUUUCCUAGGUUAGGUUGAUAAAACAACAUGGCGAUCCUUAAGAACCAGCACACUGGAUAAGGUACAACAGCUUGUACCAAUUGUCAAGGGCAUGGUCUAAGAUGGAAAUAUGAGUCGAGAUUCUUAUUUUAAGCUUAAGUACCCUUUUUGUCCAACGAAGAAAUUAUCUAAGCAUUUAUUUGUAUGUGUUUGGUCAUGGAGUGAUAACGGAAAAAAAAUUAAGUUUUGGGUCAUGGUUUACUAAAUAAGAACAUGGCCUAGUUUUGGGUUUAGGCAAUCAAUUACCAACUUUCUAUCGGCACAUCAAGCACAAGAGCAAGCACAUAAAACACCCUAAGAGGUCACCUAAGGAAUGGAGGACACCUAUUUCAUCGAAGUUCAUAAUUCAGCAUUACACCACAUUAUCUACAAUCAAUGGUUACUGGAAUAAAGAUGAGAGAAGCAUUUUGGGUGUAUAGGUGACAAACAUGAUGCAACAAUCAGGAUGCAUGCUCGUCUUAUUCGUCCUCACUGAUUUUGCCAACAUAAUGUGGCGAUAGCGUUCUAUAUCGGUGGCAUUCUUACGACUCUCACGGUAAUUUGCUAGUCGUCAGCUACACAUACGUUUUCGAGGUUAGUGUACCUGCAGAAAAAUCCAUCAUAGCCCAAUUCCCAAUGAUGCAAGUCACACAUGACAGUUUAUCACAGUUUAUACUCCAUAUAUUGCUAUAUGGAGGCCAGCUCAUCAUUAAGCGUCGAGCCACGCAUAGGCGCUGUUGCCACACUUUAACCAUAGGGCAACUCAUUAUGGUAACUCACCUUCUUACCUGAGCGUAGGUGCGUCGUUACAAGUACAUUACACUUCUCAGUAUUCCCAUGUUUGUAUACCCAUACACAUCCAUGGGGUACCGAAUUCCCAGAAAAGUAAAUACUCCACAUCGCAGCUUUUGUAUAUACAUAUGUAGAGCAUGUAUAUAGUCAAGCGCCACAAUUAAGCACUUCCCUAGACCGACAAUUGUUCGGUCAUGCUCUCACAUCUCACCUUACCUUAGUGUCGAUCCAUUCAAGACUGAAUGGCCUUAAAAAUAACAAUACACAUGUAUGCAAUACCCACCCGGUUGUGGGUUAUGGUUUUCAAAUAAGCCACCUAAUAGUCCUUAACUUAGGGCUUAACAGAGGAUGUCGCUAGCAUUAUAGUUUUUCAAAACUGUUUUUCAAAGCCAAACAAUGUGUUUAGUUGAAAAUAGUUUUUCUAAAACCAAAACUUUUGUUUUGAAAAUACGUAUGUGACAGUAUAUACUUAAUCCUGCUCCGAUACCAGCUGUGGCAGAACCUCCCAAGUUAUUGGGCCCACAUGCACCUGUCCUUGUCUCAAAGACCUCAGACAGCUAUGCAUGUGCACCAGAUAACUUAACAGGAUCCGUCCGAUUGCCCAAGGACAUCGGAUAAACCACUUACAACCAGAACCGCGGGAUUAAGUAACACAAAUCACACACACAACAUUUUUGCAGCGGAAAUCUUAUUACCAAAUUUUACAGGUUAUAAAAAAAAUUUACAUUAUUUUAUCGGAGUGAUUACAAAAGUAUAAGUUUGAAAUAUAUGCUAGCUCAAGUGACCAUCCUCAAUAAGAAGUAUAUAAGAAGUACUUAGACUUUUAAGAAGGCCGAGCCCACCGGCACUUAACACCAUCAACAACAGCAUAAAGUUAAAACCUGAAAAACAACAGGGAAUAAAACCCUGAGUAUGGAAUUACUCAGCAAGUCUUACCCGACUAAGGAAAAGACUCUCAAGGGUAUGCUGGAUAAAUAGGAAUCAAGGAGAGGCUUUAGCAAAAAUCAACUUAGAUACUUUUGCAGAAAUAGCUUACUAAAGUGAGUCCUUACUUUCAACAUUUUAACGCCAGAUUAAGUAUUAAUAGACUCUGUUUGCCUUUAGUCUAAUUUCAUCAUCUCAUCAAUACAACAUUAUUUUUAUCCAUAAUGUUCACAUCCUGACUUAGGUUGUAGACAAGUGACCACGUCUUCAUAACCGCGAAGGUACGGCGAUCCGAAUCGAUUAUACUCAGCUGAGGAUCUCCAAUCACACGACAUAUGUAGCACUUAACCCUUGCAUAUGUCAACCCGCCACCGGGGUUCUUAAGACCAGAUCAGGUUCACGCAAACCGAGAGCACAGAUACACCACCGUCCAGCCUCUUGCCACGGAGGGUACACGCUACUCUCGCCACCGCUCCACGCCCAUUUCGUGUUAUCUUAUUCUGGCCUUAGUCUGCCCGAGGCAAGGCUUACCCAUGACGAGGCAUGUGACCAGUUAAAGGGUCCGCGGUCAGCACACCUACAUACACGUUCAAUCCUUAAUCAACCUGGGUAGAACAUCACCCGUUCCUAACCCAAGUCCCGAUUUAAGUAUUUCCACCCUUAGGAUUGUUUGUUUUCCUUAGGAUGAAAAGAGCAUCAUAGGGAACUUUGCAGUAAGAUCCCACCAUGCUCCCAAUGAAAAUAUAACCUUGCAGGUAGAAGUCAUCUUUCCUCAGGAUAACCCCUGAGCAAGGCCUUAACGCAAAAGACAACCUCUAUCCACAAGAUCUAAGCAGGGCUAAGCAUUUUUGUAAAUCAAAUUUUGAUACUUCCAAAGAAGUAUCUAUAACAGGUAUGGAUAUCAAGGAAGGCAAUGCAUCAAAGGGUUUCAAGCAACUCCUAUAAACCUAAUGCACAUUUCACUAGACUUAAAGUGUGAGAAAAGUAUUUAAAAACACAAGGAAGGGGUUGCAUGCACCGGGGCUUGCCUGGAAUAAACACUAGGUUAGUGUUUGUUAGACGUCCAUUUGGCGAUCAUCCUUGUCCUAGCACUUGAUCAGGCAGGUUCAUCCAUCAGCAUUAUUCUGCGAAGUAGUCCGCGCUUGGGGUCGACUUGACUUAAGUUCUCCGCAUCUCGUGGUUAAUCAACGU
rnacentral:lncRNA from 1 species